CAACUCCGAGGCUCCCGGGCUUCGCGAGGACGCAUUUGCAGCCCUCUCUGCCUCUCCUGUCGGGCGGCCAAGGCGAGGCAGCCGCCUCGCUGGGGCUUCGUGGUGGUGUAUUUCAUAUUGGGGCUCUUUUCGGGGUUUGUAAUUUGGCCGUGGGUAGGUAAUUGGCUGGAGCAGGGCGGCAGGGCGCGGCAGCCAAUCAGCGCGCGGCUUCUAUAGGGCUUGAGUUAUUAGACGCUGAUCUCAAAACAUCCUUCAUCAGACACCAAGGAGAGGCCAACAGAUGAGGGGAGCCAUUUUUCUGCAAUGGAAUUAAAUGGCCAAGUGGGUUUUUCCUUUGUUGCAAAUGGGGAAUGUUUUUCCUUUGACUCCACCAUCCAGUUCAGGACGCCUCAGUGUUGUGUUUAACAUUUGUCAACAGGCUAAAGGACUCACAAUUGGAAGAAUGAAGAAGACUUUAAAAAGAUCUGGAUUUUUCCUUAUGACUUGGAAUCCAUCUUUGUCUUGUAUAACUAGGUCAUAGCACACCAUUAAUGUCAGCAGUUAACAAUUUUGAAUUCAAAAAAACCUAAGUAAAUGACAUAUUUAAUUUUUUUCCUCUUUUUUUCUUGGUGGGUGGGGGGAGCUUGGAGCUGUCUUAAUCUGUAUUCUCUUGACUGAACAAUAAAUUUAUAUAUAUAGUUUCCUCUAUUAAACACUUAAACCUGGCCAUCUUAUUAACUCCUUCUGCUCUCUUUUUAACAAGGUAAUGUUUUAAAUGUAUAGUUUUAGGACUAGCGAAAUGGCAACAGAAAAUUGUAAGCAGUUGUUAUUCUUUUAAGUUGUUACAAACCUUUUACAUUGUAAGUACCCAAUCCAUUCUGUCCUUACGCAGUGCAGUUUUCAUGUUAAUGUUUCUGAGAUGUCCUUUAAUUUUCUGAAACUUCAUCUGCAUGUAUGUCUUUGUCGCUCUUGUCGAACAUAAGCCAGUUAAUAUGCUUUUAGACGAUUUUGCUUUUAUAAAGCUAAGGUUUUAGCUUUAAGCUUUUGAAAAUGUUUGCAGCAAUAAAUGCUAGUCAGCUUUCCUCCCAGUAACAUGUACACUUUCUUUGAAAAUCGAUCUAUUUGAAGAAAAACAUCUCUGUUUUUCUCGUCUUAGUGGGGGGGUGGGGGGUGAGGAAAAGGAAGACCUCUUUGUGUAAAGAGACUAAAGCCGUCACAGGAAACUAGAUUAAAACUGGAAAACAAGUCCUAGCUGGUUCGAGCCAAACACCAUCGUUAACUCGGGGGUAUUUUCUCUGGUGGUUGGGAUGGCCGGUGCGUCUUUUGCCUUUUGUUUGAUUUGACUGUGUAUUUUCGCCUUUUGUCUCUUAAUGACGGUCACACCAUUGCUAUAUCCAGAGCAGUAAACAGUCCUCAGCGAAGCCGCCUUUUGCCAACCCAACCCUGGAAAGUUUGCAGAAGUGGAAGGAGCAGAAAAUUCCAUGAGAAUGUAACUUUUAAAAGGCUCUUAACCAGCGAAGGGGUCCGGUACGCCAGAGUGGACUGUUUGCCUUUGUACAGCAGAAGCAGGCCUAAUUUGACUCUGACAAUCCACCCCUUAAGUCUUUCCAGGAAUUGCUGGGAAUAGGAGAAUGACCGAGGUCCUCGGAACAUCUCGCAGGUAAGGGAGCAGGGCUCCCCGGGUGUGUGGGCGUUCCCAGUGCCUCAGCUGGCCUGCCCUGGCCCAGUGCCUCUGAGGAAGCUCCGAGCAGCUGGCCUGGCUGCUGGGUAUUUUUAGCUACAGAUCCAGCCCCUACACCACCACUGGAGCCAGGUCCAAAUCAAACACGCUCCAGGCUGGGUGGGGCUGGGGCUCUGCCAGCCUCUUGCCCAGGCAGGGGUGGGUGGGCAGGCUGGGGCUAGUGUCAGCUGUCCUUCCUGGAUCUGGGCCGGGCUGGGGAGACCCACUUUUCCUCUUCCUCUCUCUCUGUUUUGUGUAAGUCAUUUUUUCUGUCAUAAGUUGACAUUCAUUUCUUGGACAGAAAAUGUGGAAACUGAGGUCUGGGGAUUUUGAGGAAAGUCGAGUGCCCUCCCACCAUGGGGUAGAGUGGUUAACACAGUUUGCUCAGUGGAGUGACCCUCCUAAGUGAAUUCUCCCCAGGCCCCUCUCAGAUGAAGCAGUCUUACUCUCCCAGCCCCUCCCUGAGCUUCAGGGUCCCUGAUGCGAGGUCAGGCCUGAGGCAGCCAGAAGGGAGAGGCCUGUGCCUGGCUUAAAGGUAAGUAGUCCUCCCCUCCUCAAAGCCCUCUUCCAUUCUCCUCCAUGAGUGAUGGCUUCCUCCUCUGGUCCUCACUUCUGAUAUGCCCCUGGACCUGGCUGCCUCCUCUCCUCCCAACCUCAGGCUGCCACUGUGCAGAGAUGGCACAGGCCUGUCUCAGCCUCACCAGCCAGUCAAAGCUCCUUCCUGAUCACCAGAGAGAGCUUUGACUGGGCUCCUCUCCUGUUCAGAGCCUCUGUCCAGCACCCCUCUUGAGCCAGGCAGCCAGGCCUCCAUGAUCUAACUAACCCUGGUUUACCUUGACAACUAUGUCUGGCCUUGCUCCUUACUCCCCAGCUACUGAUGAGGUUUUCCAGCCACCAUGCAUAUGCCCGGCUGGGUACCCAUCCUUCUUCCACUAGCCCUUCCUGUGAGCACUGCAAAGCUUAGUCUGUGUGCUGCCCAGCUCACAACCUUCCCUGAGCCCCACAGGGGCUCUGGUGUCUAAAUUGUUCACAUCUCCCGGACUCCUGUAGACUGCUUCCCCCAAGACUGAGUUCCUCAAAGGCAGGAACACAAUUGCCUCUCAAUAAACUUGUGCUGCAAAAAUGGAA